rnacentral:lncRNA from 1 species
AUGGUUCAGCAAAACCUGAGGGAGCUCCUCAGCUUCCUGCGGCUCCUGGUCAACACGCUCACCAUCCUGCUCAUCGAGCUGGUCCACUUCUUCAGCGAGUCCGUGAUCCAGGUGCUGGUGGUCGGAGUGCUGACGGCAAUAGGAGAUCACAUGUUGAAGCCCCUCUUGGUGACUCUGUCUAACAGCAUCCUGCAACCUCUGCUGCUGUUCCUGCUGNNNNNNNNNNCUGACCUACCCGGUCAUCGACAUCCUGGAGGGCAUCUGCUUGCAGGUCGCUGUGGUGCUUCGAGCUUUCAGAUUAGUCGAGAUCAACGUACAGUUGGACAGAGGAGCAGCUCAGGGGGUUUAGGUAGGCGCUCACACCGUGCAGAGCCCCAGCUGCCUGGAUGCCUGCGCCAACGCCUGGUGCUGCAGCACAUCUUCGCUGUGGCCGGAGGCACUGUUCAGCUUGAUACCUCGCGUUUGGCCUGUGGUGGCUUCCUGGCGAUGUGUCGGGCUAAGGGAUUUGUAACACGCAGACAGAAACGUGAAGGUGUGGACAGGUCUCUGGGCUCGGCAUGGCCGCAGGGCGCUGAGCUGCCUUGGCACAUUCACCAGCAGCUGUUCAGUGUCUCUAGGGUGGCAAAGGAAGAUGGGGAGCAGGGGAGCAGUUAUCUCUGCAAAGAGCAAUAUGACUUGACGGUGGCUGGGACUGUCUGCAGGCAAGGGGAGGCAGCGCAAAGGUGAGGCUAACGAUGCAGCCGCGUGUUUCUGUGCCGGUGGGAGAUGCACAGCACCCAUGGGACUCAGUUUUGUACGUUAUACUUUUUCAAGUAUCUCCUUAACCUACCUAUUAAAUUAGAAUUUUAUACCUCGGACAAUGUCUCUAACAAGUUGUUGUUACUCUUCCUUCCUGGGAGACUUUGCUUUCCAUUCUAGAUCAAUGCCGGGAAGGACUCCUAAGCGCCCUGCUGCAGCUGGCUGGCUGGGCUCCCCGGUGGGCUCAGCUGUUGGUACCGGGGGCAGUUUUGGGUCAGGAACCUGCUCUCCUUGGCCCUGGCAGCUCGCCUUGUGUGGUCCCUGCCAGGAGGGGACGGGUUUUCUGGAGAACGGAGCAGCUCCCAGGAACCUUCUUUCAGUGACUUGCUCAGUUGUGGUGUAUGACUGGACUGAAGCAUCUCUCUGGAUUUGGUCCCUGUGGCAAAGCUUACAAAGGAAUUUAGGGACCAGAUGGGAAAAAAAGCGUGAAUGCCAAGACACGUCUGUUCUAAAACUGAUGUUUUUUAGGAAUCCCUCGUUGCAACGCCUUGUUGCUUUUCACACUGGUGAAAUGACCUUGCUUUGCUUUACCCCCUGUUCCGAAACUGCACUUUGGUGCAUGACCAGCUUCUGUUCUAGCCUUAGAAAUGCUUCCUUGAUGCACGUAGUGGCGGCUGGGGAAAAUAUUGCUGGGCCGAUGGAGGCAGUUUCUGUGCCAUCCUGCUGCCAGCGCUCGAGCUCAGGCAUUGGAGAGCAGACGCUGGAGCGGCGCCCGCCGUGCCCGGUCCGGGCAGACCCGUGAAAACCAGCUGCCUCGUGCCUCAGCACAGGCUACUUGCCCACGGCCCAGCAGGACAGCUGAAAGCAGCGUUUUCCUU